rnacentral:rRNA from 1 species
UACGUAGGGUGCAAGCGUUAUCCGGAAUUAUUGGGCGUAAAGAGCUCGUAGGCGGUUUGUCGCGUCUGCUGUGAAAAUCCGGGGCUCAACCCCGGACUUGCAGUGGGUACGGGCAGACUAGAGUGUGGUAGGGGAGACUGGAAUUCCUGGUGUAGCGGUGAAAUGCGCAGAUAUCAGGGAGGAACCAGCCGGUAGGCGGAAGGCGGCGACCUGGGUUGACACGUGACGCUGGAGGCGACGAAAGGCGUCGGGGAGCAAACAGG